AUGAGAAGAGAAUCCAACGCGCAAAGACCUCAGUGCUGAGGGAAAAUCAGAGGGUUUCAUGUACUCAGAGGAAAAGUGUGGAACUAUAAAUGCUAACUCGGUAACUCCCCAGGAAUGAGCAUGUGCCAUGCUGAGACUGAAUGCAUCAUUAGCAAAUCCCUGAGGCAGAUCUCUAUUUCAGACUGCACAGUAUAACAGCUCCAGGGAACGUACAGAGACACCGAGGAUGCUGAUAAUUUCACAGUUUCUGCUUCCCUGUGAGGCAGAAAAUAGAAAAGCUAUGAAGCUCUUUCCCAGGAACACAAAAGUAAUGUUUUCCAGGGCGAUCAAAAGCUGGAGAAGAUAGGUUUGUUGUCUGUAAACCGAGAGAAAAGGGAACACUAUCGUCUGCUGCCAUCGCUGCAAGAGACAUCACUCAGCUGAUCAAGCAAGCUGAAGCAAUACAGCUGGCCCCUUGCAGAGGAGACGCUGAGGGAUGCAAAGCUGGCUUGGGCGAACGGAGAUCUCAGGGUCACGUACGGCCCACAGGGGAUUCACUCUGUGUCAGUGUCUCCUGCAGCAGCACAGACUAUCGAUGCACGUCACACGUCUGCCCUUCAUCGCCAGCAACCCCUGGGAAAGACUUUGAGACAAGAUGAGAUGGAGGAGCAGAGGUUCCAGACAUAUUCAGUGAGUUCCGUGAAGAAUUCAGCCAGGCUAAAGGACAGUGUAUUAAUGCUCUGAAUGGGGGAGACCUGCAGGUGAUCUCAACUUCUAACAGAAUAAGAAGAGGAGGCUGCCUGCUGUUUGCACUGACCGAGGCUGGGUGUGAUACAGGCACACCCAGCAGCAAUGCCUGGACAUCGUGGACAUCACACGUUGCCUUCUGCAGCCAUCCCAGGUUACAAAUCCAAACUGCCCAGCUGACUCAAGCUAGGAGCCUCCAAUUUAUCCACGGGCUUCUUCUGGCACAGAACCCACACGUCGUGCAAAGGACAGCUGUGAGUUCAUGGCGUUGUGCAGAGCUCUGCUCAUCCACCACUGACUUGAUCUUGUGAUUUUUGGAGCACGCUGUGGACGUGCAGCAAUGCAUUCUUAGUACUGAGAAGAAACUUCAAGAAAUGGAUAUCUGGCAAGUACUUAAAGUCAGUUCUGAAGUGAUGCUAGAAAUACCACAUUUCUGGUCAGGCCUAUUACUGCAACAUCAAUGAUGCCUUUGUUCCUCGGUGCUUUUAUCCCUUACCCAAACAGCUCAUGAGAUGGCAGAUUGACUGGGAGCCCAAAAUUGCCAGGAGGGCAGUAGCUGUAAGGAUACCAAAUGUUGCCAGCCCUCUUCAAAAGAAAUUACCUUCUGACAAAUAACCUAUUCCUGACACGGCGUGAGCCUGAUAGCAUCACAGUUGACAAUAGAAGGUAGCACUGGUACAGAUUUAAACAUCUCCUCUUAAAAGCAGUUCGUAAUCUUGGCAUAGUUAAUAACUGCAGCACUCCGUGAAGUAAAUACUCAUUAGCCCCUGUUCUAACAACGUGGAGUGGUGUGGCUCUGUGUCAUCAGUGACUCAGCCACACAGGGUCAGUUUCAGUUUGGGGAGCUUCUUCUUUACAGCCCCAUUGCUCUUUUAGGCAAUCCGGAAUGGUGGGCACCAACCAGGCCUUGGCACCCCCUGUUACAUGGGGCCAGAGGAAAUGAUGCCAUUUCAAAUACAUUCCUGAGGGCACCAAGUGGGGUACAGUCUGAGGACACAGGUUGUCCUGAUAUGUCCUCCUGGUCCUACCAGACACACCUGGUGGUAUCUUGGGCACUGGUUUUGAAGCUUUUUAUAUAGGAUAUGACACGGUCUCAAAACACUGCUGUACAGUAGCAAGCCAUGCUACAGACCCCUUCCCUCCACAACAAAGUCCCUGUCUGACUCCACCCCCAGCUCAGAUAUUACUGCGUGGCAGACAUUUCCCAAGCAGUCAGACAUUAAUGUAACCCACAGCGAGCUGUUGUAUGUGCACAAGCUGCUGAUACAGGGAGUGAGGGAUUUCGUAAGGCCCGAGGAAUAAGAGCAGUGAUUAAACACAAUUCUCCUUAGUGCACCUAAGCAUAAUAGUCUCUUGAUGUUGGCAUCUCCUUUUGAAAUGCUAAUGGCCUUCUUCUGGUUAGCUCUUUAGGAUCAGCGAGUAAAGAGGCAUUAGGAAAUAAAAGUACCAUUCGUGUUGAUAUGAAAGAGUUGUUCUACCCUACAAUGCAACUGCAAAUGGCAC
ensembl:lncRNA